rnacentral:rRNA from 1 species
AAUCAACGCUGGCGGCGUGCCUAACACAUGCAAGUCGCACGAGAAAGGGACUUCGGUCCUGAGUAAAGUGGCGCACGGGUGAGUAACACGUGACUUAUCUACCCUCGAGCGGGGAAUAAUCUAGGGAAACAUGGGCUAAUACCGCAUAAGACUUACGAGUCAAAGCAGCAAUGCGCUUGGGGAGGAGGUCGAGGCAGAUUAGCUAGUUGGUGGGGUAAAGGCCUACCAAGGGGAUGAUCUGUAUCCGGCCUGAGAGGGCGCACGGACACACUGGAACUGAAACACGGUCCAGACUCCUACGGGAGGCAGCAGUGGGGAAUUUUGCGCAAUGGGGGAAACCCUGACGCAGCAACGCCGCGUGGAGGAUGAAGUCUCUUGGGACGUAAACUCCUUUCGAUCGGGACGAUAAUGACGGUACCGAUAGAAGAAGCCCCGGCUAACUACGUGCCAGCAGCCGCAGUAACAC